rnacentral:rRNA from 1 species
AUUGAACGCUGGCGGCAUGCUUUACACAUGCAAGUCGAACGGGUAACAGCACUUCGGUGGCUGACGAGUGGCGAACGGGUGAGUAAUGUAUCGGAACGUGCCCAGUAGUGGGGGAUAACUACUCGAAAGAGUGGCUAACUACCGCAUGAGAUCUCUGGAUGAAAGCGGGGGACCGUAAGGCCUCGCGCUACUGGAGCGGCCGAUAUCAGAUUAGGUUGUUGGUGGGGUAAAGGCCUACCAAGCCUGCGAUCUGUAGCUGGUCUGAGAGGACGACCAGCCACACUGGGACUGAGACACGGCCCAGACUCCUACGGGAGGCAGCAGUGGGGAAUUUUGGACAAUGGACGCAAGUCUGAUCCAGCAAUGCCGCGUGCAGGACGAAGGCCUUCGGGUUGUAAACUGCUUUUUGUACGGAACGAAAAGCCUUCUUCUAAUACAGGAGGGUCAUGACGGUACCGUAAGAAUAAGCAACCGGCUAACUACGUG